GAUGAACGCUGGCGGCGUGCCUAAUACAUGCAAGUCGAGCGAACAGAUGAGGAGCUUGCUCCUCUGACGUUAGCGGCGGACGGGUGAGUAACACGUGGAUAACCUACCUAUAAGACUGGGAUAACUUCGGGAAACCGGAGCUAUUCCCGGAAAAUAUAUUAAACGGCAUGUUUCAUUAGUGAAAGACGGUUUUGCUUUAACUAAUAGUUGGAUCCGCGCCGCAUUAGCUAGUUGGUAAGGUAACGGCUUACCAAGGCAACGAUGCGUAGCCGACCUGAGAGGGUGAUCGGCCACACUGGAACUGAGACACGGUCCAGACUCCUACGGGAGGCAGCAGUAGGGAAUCUUCCGCAAUGGGCGAAAGCCUGACGGAGCAACGCCGCGUGAGUGAUGAAGGUCUUCGGAUCGUAAAACUCUGUUAUUAGGGAAGAACAAAUGUGUAAGUAACUAUGCACGUCUUGACGGUACCUAAUCAGAAAGCCACGGCUAACUACGUG
rnacentral:rRNA from 1 species